rnacentral:rRNA from 1 species
GACAGAGGGGGCAAGCGUUGCUCGGAAUCACUGGGCGUAAAGGGCGCGUAGGCGGGAUGGCAAGUCGGUCGUGAAAUCUCUCGGCUCAACCGAGAAACGUCGGCCGAUACUGCCGUUCUUGAGGGAUGCAGAGGAGACUGGAAUUCCCGGUGUAACGGUGAAAUGUAUAGAGAUCGGGAAGAACACCAGCGGCGAAGGCGAGUCUCUGGGCAUCUCCUGACGCUGAGGCGCGAAAGCGUGGGGAGCAAACAGG